GGAUGAACGCUGGCGGCGUGCCUAAUACAUGCAAGUCGAGCGAACAGACGAGGAGCUUGCUCCUCUGACGUUAGCGGCGGACGGGUGAGUAACACGUGGAUAACCUACCUAUAAGACUGGGAUAACUUCGGGAAACCGGAGCCAAUACCGGAUAAUAUAUUGAACCGCAUGGUUCAAUAGUGAAAGACGGUUUUGCUGUCACUUAUAGAUGGAUCCGCGCCGCAUUAGCUAGUUGGUAAGGUAACGGCUUACCAAGGCAACGAUGCGUAGCCGACCUGAGAGGGUGAUCGGCCACACUGGAACUGAGACACGGUCCAGACUCCUACGGGAGGCAGCAGUAGGGAAUCUUCCGCAAUGGGCGAAAGCCUGACGGAGCAACGCCGCGUGAGUGAUGAAGGUCUUCGGAUCGUAAAACUCUGUUAUUAGGGAAGAACAAAUGUGUAAGUAACUAUGCACGUCUUGACGGUACCUAAUCAGAAAGCCACGGCUAACUACGUG
rnacentral:rRNA from 1 species